GUGGGGAAUCUUAGACAAUGGGCGAAAGCCUGACCCAGCAACGCCGCGUGAAGGAAGAAGGUCUUCGGAUCGUAAACUUCUAUCCUUGGUGAAGAUAAUGACGGUAGCCAAGAAGGAAGCCCCGGCUAACUACGUGCCAGCAGCCGCGGUAAUACGUAGGGGGCAAGCGUUGUCCGGAAUGAUUGGGCGUAAAGGGCGCGUAGGCGGCCUGGUAAGUCUGGAGUGAAAGUCCUGCUUUUAGGGUGGGAAUUGCUUUGGAUACUGUCGGGCUUGAGUGCAGGAAAGGUAAGUGGAAUUCCCGGUGUAGCGGUGAAAUGCGUAGAGAUCGGGAGGAACACCAGUGGCGAAGGCGACUUACUGGACUGUAACUGACGCUGAGGCGCGAAAGUGUGGGGAGCAAACAGGAUUAGAAACCCUAGUAGUCC
rnacentral:rRNA from 1 species